CCCGCAAAACGAUAGAACUAAUGGGUUAAGCUGAGGAUUAAAUCAAUUCAGUUUUAAAAAUAGAACUGUGAUUCUUUGGCUCUUGAGUAAAAUUUAUUACCAGUCUCAACUUGAGGUAAGAAUGCUCAAAUUGACAGUUUCAUUAAGUCGCAUGCACCAUGUUAUUGGCAGCUAUGCGACGACUACCAUGUACGAUUUGUCAACACAGACCUUCAACAAUAAAAUAUUUGUUUACCUUAAACAAUUGUUGCACUCACUACUAAAUAGCCUCUGUAUGUGUAGUAAAAUUUAACUUAUGUAUUGAGCCUAUCACAUUAUUUUAGUUUUUGAAAUCGUUUUGAAAUUGAAAUGAAUAGUUGGCUCGGACGGAAUAAUGUAGCGUAUAGGAUGACGUGGAAUCGUGUGCACUGUAAGAUGAAAAAUAACAUUUCAUACAUUCAAUGCAUCCGAAACGCUUUUCUAUCUAGGUGACACAAUAUAAAACUAUAUAAUCUAUAAACAUGAAAAAGCUGAGAUGUGUAAAUAUAAAGAAGUGUUAGGAGCUAAGUGACCAAGGGGGCCUAUAAUAAGCCAUGUUCAUCCAUCUAAGGUCAAAUUUCAUGAGGGGGUCGGAGACUUAGUUUAUUAAAAAAUGAUUGCUUUUUGUUCUCAAUAGACUAUGUUGUAAAUCAUGUUGAAGACCGUGACGGUACCUUGACCUAUAAUGGUUUACAUAUAUAAAUUGUGACUUGGCUGGAGAGUUGUUUCAUUGGCACUCAUAUCACAUCUUCCUAUAUCUAAGUACCGAAGAACCAAUUAUUGAUUGCCAGCCCACCUGCAGUGGUAUCCAUCCAGUAAUAUAUAGGGUUAUUGCAUGAAUAUUGGGCACAUAUUGUC
rnacentral:lncRNA from 1 species